GAGCCCGUAGUUUAAUGGACAGAAUGCAAGGUUUCGGCCCUUGCGAUCGGGGUUCGAUUCCUCGCGGGCUCG
rnacentral:tRNA from 1 species